rfam:Schistosoma curassoni strain Dakar, Senegal genome assembly, scaffold: SCTD_scaffold0011261
GCACUAUCGAGGAGUCCCACAAUAGGACGAAACGGCUGUCCAGUGC